UACGGAGGGUGCAAGCGUUAAUCGGAAUUACUGGGCGUAAAGCGCGCGUAGGCGGCUGGAUAAGUCGAUUGUGAAAGCCCCGGGCUCAACCUGGGAAUUGCAGUCGAGACUGUUCGGCUAGAGUGUGGGAGAGGGUGGUGGAAUUCCCGGUGUAGCGGUGAAAUGCGUAGAUAUCGGGAGGAACAUCAGUGGCGAAGGCGGCAUCCUGGACCGACACUGACACUGAGGAGCGAAAGCCAGGGGAGCAAACGGG
rnacentral:rRNA from 1 species